rnacentral:rRNA from 1 species
UGGGGGAUAUUGCGCAAUGGGCGAAAGCCUGACGCAGCGACGCCGCGUGGGUGAUGAAGGCCUUCGGGUCGUAAAGCCCUGUCGAGGGGGACGAAACGGCUCCGACCUAACACGUCGGGGCUCUGACUGUACCCCUAAAGGAAGCACCGGCUAACUCCGUGCCAGCAGCCGCGGUAAUACGGAGGGACCAAGCGUUGUUCGGAUUUACUGGGCGUAAAGGGCGCGUAGGCGGCAUGACAAGUCACUUGUGAAAUCUCUGGGCUUAACCCAGAACGGCCAAGUGAUACUGUCGCGCUAGAGUGCAGAAGGGGCAAUCGGAAUUCUUGGUGUAGCGGUGAAAUGCGUAGAUAUCAAGAGGAACACCUGAGGUGAAGACGGGUUGCUGGGCUGACACUCAGACGCGAAAGCGUGGGGAGCAAACAGGAUUAGAUACCCUGGUAGUCCCUGAGCGGGCUGGCAAGGCGCAU